rnacentral:lncRNA from 1 species
AGAAGAUGGAUGCCCUGUGGGAAAUAGGGAGUUAAUAAAAAUCUUUAAGCAGAGGAGUCAGAUAUUAAAAUGAAAGCUUUUGGAACCCUGGAAAUGGUAUAAAAAUGGGUGAAUUGGAGCUCAGAGGGGAGCAAUCCGGAAGUGACAAGGAGUGACUUUGGGAAUGGGCGCAGUCACAUCAGCGUGCCUCAGUGUAAUAUACUACUCAUUUCCUAUAUCCAAGUCAAUUUCAUUCUUUCUCCCUGUGAUCAGAUGUUCCCUACCAACAUUUCAGAGGAAGAGUUUCUAUCAUUUACUUUACACUGAAGACAGAAUUCCUGUUGGUGACUUAGAGAGAAGCAUCUUGUCUGAUCUGCCUCUCUGGAAUGAAGAGAGAAUGGAAGAGCAAAGUUAUCCUUCUGGGGACCCUUUGUAGUAUGUGGAGCUUGAGGACAAUUAUAUAUAGCACCUUAUGGCUUGCUAGGUAUCGUCAGCUGAGGUGUUAGACACACGAGAAAAACCAUCUUGGGCUUUCUAGCUCCAGUCUAGAUACAAGUUGAAUGGAGUUCAUGAAUAUCCCCAUCCAACACCAUAAGCAGCAGAAAAUUGCCUCUGAUGGGCUCAGACAACCUAUAUGAUGGGAAUAAAUUCUGCCAGCAACCUGAGAGAACUUAGAAGCUCAUUCUUCUCCAGUCAACAUUCCAAAUGAGAACAAAGUCUGAUUGACACUGACUGCAGCCUUGUGGAACCGGAAGCAGAGGACCCCAGAUAAGAUAGGUUAUUCUGACAAGAGCGGCCGGUGUUGUUGGCAAAGAGAGCAGCUAGAAGAUUGUAGCAGAGGCUGGUUAGCUGUUCACCAAAUCCAUUUUCUCUUUCUCUUGAGCACACAACUUUAUAUUGUAUAUUCCAGUCUCUCUUAAAGGUGAGUAAAGCCAUAUAAUGAGUUCUGGCCAAAGGAAAAUGGAUAGAAGUGAUGUAUGUUACUUCUAGGCCUGGCACACAAGACACAUCAACAUGCAGUCCUAUAUAUUCUCUACCUCUAGGAAGUGGU